GACCCCAUAGUAUAAUUUAAUUACAAUAGAUUGUAAGUCUAGAAAUGACCUUUCUGAGGUUU
rnacentral:tRNA from 1 species